rnacentral:rRNA from 1 species
ACGGAGGGUGCAAGCGUUGUUCGGAAUUACUGGGCGUAAAGCGCGCGUAGGUGGUUUGUUAUGUCAGAUGUGAAAGUCCACGGCUCAACCGUGGAAGUGCAUUUGAAACUGGCAGACUUGAGUACUGGAGGGGGUAGUGGAAUUCCCGGUGUAGAGGUGAAAUUCGUAGAUAUCGGGAGGAAUACCGGUGGCGAAGGCGACUACCUGGCCAGAUACUGACACUGAGGUGCGAAAGCGUGGGGAGCAAACAGG